GAUGAACGCUGGCGGCGUGCCUAAUACAUGCAAGUCGAACGCAUAGCGAAACGUGCUUGCACCUUUCAAGUGAGUGGCGAACGGGUGAGUAACACGUGGACAACCUGCCUCAAGGCUGGGGAUAACAUUUGGAAACAGAUGCUAAUACCGAAUAAAACUUAGUGUCGCAUGACACAAAGUUAAAAGGCGCUUCGGCGUCACCUAGAGAUGGAUCCGCGGUGCAUUAGUUAGUUGGUGGGGUAAAGGCCUACCAAGACAAUGAUGCAUAGCCGAGUUGAGAGACUGAUCGGCCACAUUGGAACUGAGACACGGCCCAAACUCCUACGGGAGGCUGCAGUAGGGAAUCUUCCACAAUGGGCGAAAGCCUGAUGGAGCAACGCCGCGUGUGUGAUGAAGGCUUUCGGGUCGUAAAGCACUGUUGUAUGGGAAGAACAGCUAGAAUAGGAAAUGAUUUUAGUUUGACGGUACCAUACCAGAAAGGGACGGCUAAAUACGUG
rnacentral:rRNA from 1 species